CAAUAGCGUAUAUUAAAAUUGUUGCGGUUAAAACGCUCGUAGUUGGGUAUUUGUCAAUCACUACCGGUUGCUCCUCUGGAGUUUUACUAGGUUUGUGAGUGACAUUCUACCGGGGACAGUAUUUUCACUUCAUUGUGCAGUGCUGAAGCCGGGACCAUUACUUUGAGAAAAUGAGAGUGUUCCAAGCGGGCGUUUGCCAGAAUAUAUUAGCAUGGAAUAAUAGCAUAGGACCUCUAUCUGAUGCUGUUGGUUAUCGGAAAGAAGGGAACGCAAAUAAGGAUAGUUGGGGGCGAUUCGUAUUUAACUGUCAGAGGUGAAAUUACUUGGAUUUUUUAAAAGUAACGAAACUAACUGCGAAAGACAUCUGCCCAGGAUG
rnacentral:rRNA from 1 species